UAUUAAAGUUGGCCACAAAUUCUCAACACUCUUCCCAUUCAGAUGUGGGGUUUGUCUUUCCUGUCUAUGAAACAAGGUAGAUUCAGGGAUUGCUUGACCCACAGAAUAUGUUGGACAAUACCUUAAUCCUGUGCUAGUUUUUGAAUGCAGGCCUUAAGAGACUGGUUGCUUCCACUUCCUAUCUCUUGAAUACUUCCUCUGAAGAAAGCCAGCCACCAUGUAAAAAGUCCUGUUCUGUGGCUGUCGUGCUGGAGGGUAUGUAUAGGCACUCCUCUUGACAGUCUGGAUAAGUGGACACACCAGCCCAUCGGCCAUCUGAAUACCAUGGAGGGACCUCCGUUAAUACCGCACAGAACAGAGAAUCAUCCAGCUGAGACCUAUCUGAAUUCCCGGGUGAUGGAAUUGUAGGACAUAAGGAAAUGGGUCUUUAUUUAAGCCACUGUUUUGGGGUGUGCUAUGGUCUGGAUGUGUCUCCCCAAAUUUAGAUGUUGAAACUUAAUCACCAAUGUGAUAGUAUUAAGAGGUGGUGCCUUAACGAGGUGAUUAAGUCAUGAGGGUAGAGGUCUCACAGAUGGGAUUAGGGACCUUAGAAAAUGGCUUGAGGGAGUGUGCUCACCCUCUCCUGCUCUUCUGCCAUAUGAGGACACAGGGUUCAUUCUCUUUUCUUUGCCCUCCCAUCCCUUCUGCAUCGAUACAUGGAGAGACCUAUGAGCAAUGGGCUUUUCCCAGACACCGAACCUCUCAGCACUUUGAUCUUGGACUGCGGAGCCUUCAGAAUUUGUGUCUGUCUACACCUCUUCUCUCUUAUUAGGAUGCUUGUGAUGACAUGUAGGACCCACCUGAAGAUAAUCCAGGAUUGUCUCCUCAUUUCAAGAUCCCUAAUUUAAUCACAUCUUUGAAAAACAUCUUUCUCCAAAUAAGGUGGGGAGUGCCCGUGUACCUACUGACAGUCAUGUGGCCAGAGGAGCACUGAAGAUAGUGACAGAGCCAUUCAGCAGCUCAGUUCUGCUCAGUGUGUACAGCCAUCGGCAUGCCCUGUCUUGCCUUUUGAUUGCCACAUUCAUUCUUUCCUUCAAGAAUAACGGCAGUGGCUGUUCAAGUGCCUCUCCCCUAGGGGCUAUUCACCUGUAAGUAUGGGAAGUUUGCUUUUACUUCUCUUCUUCCGGUAAGCUCCUUGAGCAAACGAGGGGGUGUAGUAAUGAACCAGGUCACAUGAGUUACAGAGUCCCCUAUCUGGGUUAGAUGCUCCAUAACCAUCUCUAACUCCCAAAGCAUUGCACUUAGAGUAUUUUACUCCUGUUAUUUGCUGAAUGAAUUCACUCUUCCUUUAGAUGGUAAGCUUCAUGAAGACAGAAACUGCAUCUGUCUUAUUUGGGGCUGCACUUCUGAAGCCUAACAUACUGCCUGGCACAGGACUGAUAUUCUGUAACUAAAUCAACUAAAUAAAAGGGUGGCCUUACGGGCUAAAACAUCUCAUAUGUCCAUUCAUCUCACAAACAAUAUUGUGACUGUGCAGGCGUUGAUGUGGUUAUUUGGUAUAAGUGAGUGAUUCUGGCAGCCCUAGAGGGGCUCCCCUUGCGGUGGGAAGCACAACUGAGUGAAUAAUCACAGAGGAGUCUGACGAAGGCUGUAAAGAGCGUCUCAGACCAGAUAGAAUGUCGGCAGAGAAAGGAGUGAUCAAUUCGGCAUAUAUGGUGUAUUACUUACAGAUGCUUAUAGCAUUGGGCCUUGUAUUGUUAGUUAUCAGUUCAUUCAUAUGGUCUAUCACCCCAAAUAAUCACCAACCAUAUCUUCUACGUCUUCAUUUCUUCUGUAAUAACCUAUCACAGAGUUUGCUAUAUCUAGAUAGUUACUGAAUAGGACGCUAUGAUGAGAAUAGACAGGUGUCAUUGUCCUUCGGGCUGCUUAUUAAAAAAAAUUCCAUAGACUGGAUGACUUAUAAACAAUGUGUCAUUCACACUUCUGGAGGCUGAGGAGUGCAAGAUCCAGGUGCCAGCAGGUUCUGUGUCUGGGGAGAGCUUGCUUCCUGGUUCAUAACUGGCUGUCUUCUCACUGAGUUCUCACUUGGAGCAGGGGACAGGGAGCUCUCUGGAGCCUCUUUCAUAAGGAAACUAAUCUCAUUCAUGAGAGCUCUAUCCACAUUGCCUAAUUACCUGUAAAAACCCUACCUCCCACUACUAUAACAUUGGGUGUUAAAAUUUCAACACACGAACUGUUUUGAGAGGAUGCAAACAUUCGGUCUAUAGCAACAAGGAAUAUGACUUUAAGUUAAAUUACUUGGAAAUAAAUACCAAUCUUGCU